UACGUAGGGGGCUAGCGUUGUUCGGAAUUACUGGGCGUAAAGGGCGCGUAGGCGGCGUGUCAAGUCAGGCGUGAAAGCCCCGGGCUCAACCUGGGAACCGCGCUGGAGACUGGCAUGCUCGAGUUCGGGAGAGGAUGGUGGAAUUCCCAGUGUAGAGGUGAAAUUCGUAGAUAUUGGGAAGAACACCGAUGGCGAAGGCGGCCAUCUGGACCGACACUGACGCUGAGGCGCGAAAGCGAGGGGAGCAAACAGG
rnacentral:rRNA from 1 species